rnacentral:rRNA from 1 species
GAUGAACGUUGGCGGUGUGCCUAAUACAUGCAAGUCGAACGGAGACUGUAGCAAUACUGUCUUAGUGGCGAACGGGUGAGUAACGCGUUGGUGAUCUGCCUCGAAGUGUGGAAUAACCUCCCGAAAGGGAAGCUAAUACCGCAUAGUCUCUCAAGGUUUAGAAAAUUGAGAGUAAAGGAUUUAUUCGCUUCGAGAGGAGCCUGCGUCCCAUCAGCUAGUUGGUAGGGUAAAGGCCCACCAAGGCGAUGAUGGGUAGCCGGCCUGAGAGGGUGUACGGCCACACUGGGACUGAGAUACGGCCCAGACUCCUACGGGAGGCAGCAGCUAAGAAUAUUCCGCAAUGGACGAAAGUCUGACGGAGCGACGCCGCGUGGAUGAAGAAGGCCGAAAGGUUGUAAAGUUCUUUUGCUAGGGGAGAAUAAGUGAGGGAGGGAAUGCCUCAUGAUGACAAGGACUAGCGAAUAAGCCCCGGCCAACUACGUGCCAGCAGCCGCGGU